rnacentral:sRNA from 1 species
AGACAGUGCAGCCACCUCUGAGAGCCUGGAUGUGAUGGCGUCACAGAAGAGACCCUCCCAGAGGCACGGAUCCAAGUACCUGGCCACAGCAAGUACCAUGGACCAUGCCAGGCAUGGCUUCCUCCCAAGGCACAGAGACACGGGCAUCCUUGACUCCAUUGGGCGCUUCUUUGGCGGUGACAGGGGUGCGCCCAAGCGGGGCUCUGGCAAGGACUCACACCAUGCAGCAAGAACUGCUCACUACGGCUCCCUGCCCCAGAAGUCACACGGCCGGACCCAAGAUGAAAACCCCGUAGUCCACUUCUUCAAGAACAUUGUGACACCUCGCACACCACCCCCGUCGCAGGGAAAGGGGAGAGGACUGUCCCUGAGCAGAUUUAGCUGGGUAGGUGACGAACGCACUUCCAUCGGCUUCCUCUUCCGUCCCGGUCCUCACAGCCCCGCAACUUUUGUGUUCUCCUCUGUUUCGGUUGCUUCCCGGCGUCCUUUUCUCUCCUCUCAAGACCUCUCUGCCCACAGCUGGGAUCGGGCCGCCUUCUCUUCCACUGGGGAAAUGAAACGUGGCCUUCCCUUCCGGAAGGUCUGGUCUCUUGCUUCUGUGCCUGGGACCCAGCCCUGCAAGGCCAGACCCUCUUCUCCCAAAGGGUUCCCAGGAGACGUGACUGGUCUCCUUCCCAGGGAGGGAGCAACACCACGUCCGAGAAAAUGUUUAACUUCUUCCAACACAACCAGUGCGAGAAGCCCCAGGAACCCGCAUGUGGAAGAGGGACUGGCUGGCCCAUCUCAGUAACCCCAGAUGCUGACACUGGAAAAACGAUUCUGCUAAUGAACAGAAAAAGAGGCUAAAUAGAGUUGCUCGAUUUAUAAUAACCUCAUUAAUCCAAAGAUUUUUGUUUUGUAUUUAAUUAAAUAAUAAUUAAAACAUAGAUAUCAAGCCAUCCAGAAAAUCUUCUUAGGAAUUUUAGGCUGGUCAAUACUGAAAGCAAACUUUCAAGGAAGGUUUAAAAUGGCCAAUUUGAACUUUCUAGUGAAAAAUUUGGUGUCUGAGCCAAAUUAAAAUGCCAAUCAUUAUAUUCUAAACAAACUUAUAGACUUUAGUUACUAGCAAAUAUCAGAUAUGAUUUUUACUGUAUAAAGGUUAUAAUUUUAGAAUAAAAUGGAGGAAUAAUCAUCAACAUAUUGUAGAUAGGUUGUGUCUGUCUCUGAAACUGCAGUUCUCUCAUACGCUAGAACAGAGCCUACCUACACUUUCUGCUCAAUUAAUAAGCAUCAUAUAAAUGAAUGAAUA